UACGUAGGGUGCGAGCGUUAAUCGGAAUUACUGGGCGUAAAGCGUGCGUAGACGGUAGCGUAAGUCAGAUGUGAAAGCCCCGGGCUCAACCUGGGAAUUGCAUUUGAGACUGCUCUGCUCGGGUGCGGAAGAGGGAAGCGGAAUUUCCGGUGUAGCGGUGAAAUGCGUAGAUAUGUGGAGGAAUACCGAUGGCGAAGGCAGCCCCCUGGGUCAAGACUGACGCUCAUGCACGAAAGCGUGGGGAGCAAACAGG
rnacentral:rRNA from 1 species